UUUCCGUAGGUGAACCUGCGGAAGGAUCAUUAAUGUGUUUGGGCCUCACGGCUCUUCAUUCCGACGCUGUGCGCCUUCGGGCUGCACGCUGAGGGAGCAUAUAUCCACCCCUGUGCACACACACGGUGGCGAGCUGGGUAACGGCUCGCCGCUGAUCUUUACACACGUCUAAAAGUCAUUGCAUGUUUAUUUGAGAUAAAAACACAACUUUCAGCAACGGAUCUCUUGGCUCUC
rnacentral:misc_RNA from 1 species